rnacentral:rRNA from 1 species
CCCAGUGACUUAGUUCAACGGCCGCGGUACCCUGACCGUGCAAAGGUAGCAUAAUCACUUGCCUCCUAAUUAGAGGCUGGAAUGAAUGGACAAACGAGAAUCCUUCUGUCUCACAAGGACCCCCUUAAUCUGGUUCUCAGGUGAAGAAACCUGAAUAAUAAUAUAGGACAAGAAGACCCUAUUGAGCUUUAUUACCUAAACACUUGUAAGAUAGCCUAUAUAAUCAAUUUUUCCCAAGUAAUUUAGUUGGGGCGACUUUUGAUCAUAAAAAACAUCUUUUCCCUUCAUGGACUACAAUCCCGUAACAUCCCAAAAGGAAUUUGAAUUAGCUACCUUAGGGAUAACAGGCUAAUCUUACUAGAGAGACCAAAUUGACAGUAAGGGUUGGCACCUCGAUGUUGGCUUAGUGUACCCCUUAAGUGCAGCAGCUUAAAAUGGUCGGUUUGUUCAACCGUUAAAACACUACGUGAUC